GACGAACGCUGGCGGCGUGCUUAACACAUGCAAGUCGAACGGAAAGGCCCUGCUUUUGUGGGGUUCUCGAGUGGCGAACGUGUGAGUAACACGUGAGUAACCUGCCCUUGACUUUGGGAUAACUUCAGGAAACUGGGGCUAAUACCGGAUAGGAGCUCCUGCUGCAUGGUGGUGGUUGGAAAGUUUCGGCGUUUGGGGAUGGACUCGCGGCUUAUCAGCUUGUUGGUUGGGUAGUUGCUUACCAAGGCUUUGACGGGUAGCCGGCCUGCGAGGGUGACCGGCAAAAAUGGGACUGAGAUACGGCCCAGAAUCCUACGGGAGGCAGCAGUGGGGAAUAUUGCACAAUGGGCGGAAGCCUGAUGAAGAAACGCAGCGUGCGGGAUGAAGGCCUUCGGGUUGUAAACAGCUUUCGACUGUGACGAAGAGUGAGUGACGGUAAUGGGUAAAGAAGCACCGGCUAACUACGUG
rnacentral:rRNA from 1 species